rnacentral:rRNA from 1 species
UACAGAGGGUGCAAGCGUUGUCCGGAUUUACUGGGCGUAAAGCGUUUCGUAGGUGGUUUGGAUAGUCACUUUUCAAAUACUGCGGCUCAACCGCGGAUCGGGAAGUGAUACUUCCAGACUGGAAUUACGUAGGGGCUACUGGAACUGUCGGUGUAGGGGUGAAAUCCGUUGAUAUCGACAGGAACGCCAAGGGUGAAGACAGGUAGCUGGGCGUAUAUUGACACUGAGGAACGAAAGCUAGGGGAGCAAA